AGCCGCAAUUCGUGCUAAGGUAGCAUAAUAAUUUGUCUUUUAAAUGAGGACUUGAACAAAAGAUUUAACAUUUCAAUAAUUAUCUUUAUUUUACUUAUUGAAAUUAACAAAAAUGUAAAAAGCCAUUUAUAAAUAAGAAAGACGAUAAGACCCUAUUGAACUUAACUUAAGUUUUACUGGGGCAGUAAUUUAAUAAAUAUUUUAAUAAAAUUAAUAAAAUAAAUAUCUAGUUUUCUAAUAAUUAAGUUACCAUAGGGAUAACAGAAUAAUUAUUUUUAAGAGAUCUUAUCCAAAAAAUAGAUUGUAACCUCGAUGUUGAAUUAAUUUCCUAAUUUGAGCAAAAUUAAAAUAAGGAAGUCUGUUCGACUUUUAAAAAAUUACAUGAUUUGAGUUCAGACCGGUAUAAGCCAGGUCGGUUUCUAUCUUCUAUAUAAAUUUAUACAGUACGAAAGGACCUAUAAAUAUAAUAACAUUAUUAUAUUGGCAGAUAAAUGCAUUAGAAUUAGAAUCUAAUUAAUCU
rnacentral:rRNA from 1 species